GUCAGGUAUUGUAUGAGGCUAAAUAAAGGAAAACUCAACGUUUAUACGAGCUUUUCUCAAGUCUCUCGUAUUACAUAUCGACACGGAUUCCCCCGCCAAUGGAUCUUUACGCAUGGGUUGCGAAUUUGUUCUCUUCAUCCCGAAGGAAAUGAAGUUGAUUGAUCUUGUAUUAAAAACGUUAUUCUACUUUGAAAUGCGUCUGAAUAUAUUAAUAGGAGAGCAUUCCCAGAAUGGGUUAAAAUAUGGGGAUGAAUCAGAAACGUCGUUUGAUAAGAAAUAAGGAAAAGUGACAAGAUGCAGAGUAAGAGGAAAUAUUAUUUAUAGAGAAAAGCGGUAGACACAUAAAAAAUAUUUUUAAUUUAUGCAAAAUAUAUAACGUAUUAUAAUUAUAUACAUACGUACACAUAUAAUACAUAAUAUACACGUCUUUAUAAUUUUAUAUUGAACUUAAACAGGUGUUGUAGACAUACAUACACUGACAUUCAGACAUACAGUCACACAGUGUAUUAAUACUUAUGUAGAACAUUUUAUAAAUAACGAGUACAACUAAUAUAACACAUCAA